rnacentral:rRNA from 1 species
CCUACGGGGUGCAGCAGUGAGGAAUAUUGGUCAAUGGUCGGGAGACUGAACCAGCCAAGCCGCGUGAGGGAGGAUGGUACAGAGUAUCGUAAACCUCUUUUGUCAGGGAACAAAGGCUGGGACGUGUCCCCGGAUGAGUGUACCUGACGAAAAAGCAUCGGCUAACUCCGUGCCAGCCGCCGCGGUAAUACGGAGGAUGCGAGCGUUAUCCGGAUUUAUUGGGUUUAAAGGGUGCGCAGGCGGUCUGUUAAGUAAGCGGUAAAAGCCCGGGGCUCAACCCCGGCCCGCCGUUGAAACUGGCAGUCUCGAGUUGGAGAGAAGUAUGCGGAAUGCGCGGUGUAGCGGUGAAAUGCAUAGAUAUCGCGCAGAACUCCGAUUGCGAAGGCAGCAUGCCGGCUCCACACUGACGCUGAGGCACGAAAGCGUGGGUAUCGAACAGGAUUAGAUACCCUUGUAGUC